UGAGCAGAACGACUCCACCACGGACGGUGUUGUGCCUGUGCAAAGCAAGAGCGUUCAAGCUCCAUUAGUGAAUGAUCAUUACUUUGGGCUCGACUUCACUGCAUCCAAACCGUUAGCCUACGGUUACAACACCCAGUCAGGGUGCCCAAGUCAUAUUGUAAGUUUCCUAAUAGCAAUUGAAAUUAGCUUUUAAUAUUAAUAUUUUAAAAUUAAGGAAAAAAGCUCUGAUCGAGUGCAUGUGACCUCAGGUAUCAUCCUCAUAUCUGGACGUUGGGGUAGUGCCGGAUGGCGGCAACAUGAUGGAGUCAACAAAUCAAAAGGUUCAGCUGUCUGCAGUGGAUAGGGAAGCAAGGGUGUUAAGAUACAAAGAAAAGAGAAAGAAUCGGAAGUUCGAGAAGACGAUUAGAUACGCAUCGCGAAAAGCUUACGCUGAGAUGAGACCCAGAAUCAAAGGAAGAUUCACGAAACGAUCUAAUAGUGAAGUUGAUCGAAGUAGUAUCUACGAAUUCGGCGUCGUUCCG
rnacentral:lncRNA from 1 species